CGUGUCGCGAGAUAUUGGGUUAAGUCCCGCAACGAGUUCAACCCUUGAUCUUAGUUGCCAGCAUUCAGUUGGGCACUCUAAGGUGAUUNCCGGUGACAAACCGGAGGAAGGUGGGGAUGACGUCAAAUCAUCAUGCCCCUUAUGACCUGGGCUACACACGUGCUACAAUGGAUGGUACAAAGGGCAGAGAAGCCGCGAGGUGGAGCCAAUCCCAUAAAACCAUUCUCAGUUCGGAUUGCAGGCUGCAACUCGCUUGCAUGAAGCCGGAAUCGCUAGUAAUCGCGGAUCAGCAUGCCGCGGUGAAUACGUUCCCGGGCCUUGUACACACCGCCCGUCACACCACGAGAGUUUGUAACACCCGAAGUCGGUGGGGUAACCGUAAGGAGCCAGCCGCCUAAGG
rnacentral:rRNA from 1 species